rnacentral:rRNA from 1 species
UUGGAGGGCAAGUCUGGUGCCAGCAGCCGCGGUAAUUCCAGCUCCAAUAGCGUAUAUUAAAGUUGUUGCAGUUAAAAAGCUCGUAGUUGAAUUUCGGGGUUAGUAGGUUGGUCAUGCCUCUGGUAUGUACUGGUCUCACUGAUUCCUCCUUCCUGAUGAGCCGUAAUGCCAUUAAUUUGGUGUUGCGGGGAAUUUGGACUGUUACUUUGAAAAAAUUAGAGUGUUUAAAGCAAGCUAACGCUUGAAUACAUUAGCAUGGAAUAAUGAAAUAGGACGUUCGAUCCUAUUUUGUUGGUUUCUAGGAUUGACGUAAUGAUUAAUAGGGAUAGUUGGGGGCAUUAGUAUUCAAUUGUCAGAGGUGAAAUUCUUGGAUUUAUUGAAGACUAACUACUGCGAAAGCAUUUGCCAAGGAUGUUUUCAUUAAUCAAGAACGAAAGUUAGGGGAUCGAGGACGAUCAGAUACCGUCGUAGUCUUAACCAUAAACUAUGCCGACUAGGGAUCGGAUGAUGUUAAUUUUUUAAUGACUCAUUCGGCGCCUUACGGGAAAC